UCCUCAUAGACAGCUGUCACCUGGCUGUUACUCUCCUUGCUCAGCUCUGUCACCAUGUUCACAAAACCCUGCACCUGCAGCUCUCUGCUGCGGGAGAGAAGCCAGCUCUGGGAAGGCCUUCAAGGCUCCUCCACUGAUCACGACUCACUGUCUCAGGGGAAGGGGACACCAACUUCUCAGGAGAGAUUAUGCCUCUGCCCUCAAGGUCAUGAGAUGCAAAGCCACGUGCAGAAGAGAGAAGGGAUUGGCCACAUGCUGUCGUGUCACUAGUUAAUUCAACCCCAAGUCUGCCUAUUCUCCAUCUCUAGAGGUCACCCUGACCCAAGGCCACCAAGCUCUCCCUACCUGGACUGCUGUCCCUACCUGGCCUUCCUACCACAGCUGUCAUCCUUCUGUCCCAUUCUAACAAGCUUUGACCCAUUCUCGAGGCUGCAGCCACAGUCUAAUGGCAGCGACUCCUGCUUAAAGCCUCUAGCUGCAUCCUCAUUUUAGGAGAUCCCAUCUAGGUUGACCUUGGCCUCCAAAGCCCUGAAGGAUCUGGGCCCUGCAUCUGCCUGAGACCCCAUGUGUAGUGGGCACCCGCUGCCUUGGCCUCCCGUUCCCAACGUGCCAGCAGAUGGCUGCUGUGGCCACGGCCAUCCCCAGGCCCCAGGCAUGGCUCCAGUUCACCAGCCUCUUGCUCUGGGUUGCAGUACAGAUACACUCUGGCUACUGACACCUCUGCAGAAAACCUCCUGCAGGCCCUGGGGCACCGGCUGCAGGAGUGGCCUCAGCCUUCUUACUUCUGCGACAGCUGCCAUGUGUGGGCUGUGCCCGCUGGACAGCCCCAGCUGAGCACACUCCUUGGGACUCCUGCUUCUAGUCUGCCUGGGGGAUUCCCCACUGGCCCUGAGCCAGGCCUUGAGGGGGCAAACCCAGACAAGCUCUGAAAAUCCUAUGGGAAAGCCACUACCAUCGCCUCUCUAUUGGGAAAGUGGGCUGGCAAUGCAGUGAGUCACCCGUGUGUACAGAUGUUAUCUACGGUGAAGGUGAUAGCAGAGACUCCCAGGGACACAUGUCUGGCCACAGCAGACCCUGACCUGCAGCUCUAGGCCCUGGCAGGGGCCCUUCUGGGACUGGAUAUGGCCCCAGCUCGCCCCAGCACCCUGGAAGAGCAGACAAAGCUGGAGUCGGGUGAACACUCACUUUGGGGCCGGGAGACUCUUGCCUUCUCUGACUCUUCCUUGGAGGUGUGGAGAACCAGUCGGUAUUUCUUUAAAAUGCAGCUGGGCCCUUGAACAUUCAGUGUCAUCUGGGACAGACUUUUUAUUUCUGAGCAAGGGAUAAGGCAAAGGUUUAAAGGCUCAUCGACAGUAGGGUUGGGGUGGGGGCUCGUAUGUGGGACCACCAAGGACCCUCUGCCUCCCACUCUGGCCUAGGCCUGCAUCAUGUCUUUGCUGCUUGCUCCCUCCAGGGCCACAGGUCCCAUCCUGGGUCCACACUGAGUGAGGAUGGCAUUUUCCCCACACAAUCGUAAGCAGUAGAUGUUCCCCACAAACACCUAGAACAGGGCCUGGCACAGUCGGUUCAGCGAGGGUUCCCCUCCAGUCUCGGUGUGAACCAGGACAUCCUGGUCUACUGCCCAGACCUGGAAGCUUGGUUCCAGCCUCAGGUCAGGACCAAAUCCAGGACUGCUUUUGCCCAGGUCAGUCAGCGUCCUGCCUUAGGCUGCAAGAGGGUUUUUACAAGAGGCUCACAUGCCCCUUGGGUUCUGAUUCAUUUAGUCUUCUCAAACACCUUGUGAAGCUGACCAUAUCCCCAUUUUACAGAUGGCAAAACAAGACCGGGGAAGUUAACGUGCUCAAAAUCACAUCCGGGUAGUUUGUUAUCUGACAUCAGAGCCGUCUUCCCAUGGGGCCACGUGGCCUCUUUCUUCCCAGUUACAAGCUUCAAGUCACUGACAAGCGACGUGUUAGAUCAGUUUAGAGGGGAGACACCGGCCUGCAUCUGUGUUUGCUAAGGUGUGGGACAGUGAAGGCCCAGGGGAGGGCAGAGUCCAAGGAGGGAAGGUGGUGAGAGUCCCCAGUCAGGGGCGGGCUCUUCCUUGCCUUCUGAAUAGGACACCUUCGUGGGCCUCCGCCUACCAGCUGGCCCACGUCAGCAGGGCUGCAGUUCACAAGCAGGAUGGCACCCCAACCAUUGGGACCCCAGACCCAGUUUUUCUGCAAAGAAGACAGGACUGUUCGUUCAGGAAGAAACCAGGUUCUGCAAAUGAACCCCCAGUCCUGACACGCCUCAUCAAUGGUUCACAGCCUCAGCAUCACAGUGGAGUCACCUGGAGCACUGUGAACGAUGGGAGUGGGGUCCCAUCCCUUCCUCAGGUCCCUCACAUAGAAGAACCAGUGACAUUCGUUUCUUUGUCUUUGUGGAUAAAAUGAGAGUUCCUGUGGCCAGGAUUCUCACCUGGUCCUGAUUGGCUAGCUUACCCACACAUGUGGGCAAUACGUUGCUAUUGAC